CCCAAUGCAAUGAAAUAGCCUUUCAGAUAUUUCAAAAGCUUUUGGUUCUUAUUUUAAUUAUUGGAACUAUUACUUAUCUCCUUUAUUUUGGGUAGUGUGUAAGGCAACUAAAGGGGUAUCAGUUGAUUCCCAAUGCAAUGAAAUAACCUUUCAGUUAUUUCAAAAGCUUUUGGUUCUAAUUUAAUUAUUGGAACUUUUAUCUCCUUUAUUUUGGGUGUUCAAUACUUCCACUGAUUAAACCAAUAUCAGGAUGAGCUAUGACAUCGUUUAUGUUAGUGAAAGGCUAUUUCUUUUUUUGUAAUUUUUAGCAUCAUCAUACACUGUUUCAUAGAUGGGUAUAGCAGUUGAAUCUUCCUUUAGUUUGAGAAUUCGAGACAUUCUAGUGAUAAGUGCCUUCAAAUGGAACACAAUGGUAUGUUUCUUACCAAUGCAUCUGAUCUUUUCCUACAGUUCAAAAUUCAAUGAAAAAAAUUUGAAAAUGAGAGAUUUUCUGAAAAAUUAGUAAAAAGUAGAAUGAAAGACAAUCCUAUAUUGACAAGGACAAACUUUUUUACAAUUUAGUAAUGCCCACACUCUUUCUUGUGUAUCAAAGAUCAUCGAAAUAAGCAACAAAACUAUUUCAAUAAAAAAAUACUAUUUACAAGGAUUUCAAUCAAGAUACCUUAGCAAGAUUCUAGUUCUUUCGUAAGUUCUUGUAUUUAGUGUUGUGGGAAUUUAUCUCGUCGUCUUUUUGGGGUUGCUUUUUUCAAUAAAUACAUUUCUUUACAUAAGUUGUAUUAGUAAUCUGGGUUUAUGGAUGACUGCUCUUGGUAUUGUUAGUCUAGCCUUAAACCAUCGUUUAUAUAGAGACAUCAACAUAAUGUUUUAGCUUGGUGGAAAUGAAUUCUUUUUCCUCAGGAUCCUAUUAGAUAGAAACAAAGAACAAAAUAACUAGAAAGGUUGUAAGAAUACCCCUCUUCUAGAUGGAUCGUCUACAAAGCUAUUCGUUUAAAGUGUAUUCAGAUCAAAAGCUCGAAUGGCAAAAGAGGGAGGAUUUGUGGCUUAGAUCGUAGGUUCAAGCUCCACACCAUGCAAAAGGAAGCCCCGUAUUUAAGUGGUGAAGGGUAGAGUAAUGAUCAUAUGUCUGUAGUGCAUUGUAUGUCCCAUGAUAGGUCCCAUUCUUCUUCUCUUCUCCAAACAAAGUCUAUGAUUAUUCAUAUCUAUGUUACCUUGAUAUCAAAGAAGAGUUCAAUCAAUCCUAUGUUUCCAUUCCAACCUUCCCAUUUAUCUGACUGUUGCUGAGCAGUUUAUGGAUAUCACACGGACAGCCCCAGAUGGUAAAUUUUAAUGUGGACAAAUUUUCGUUGAUCAUGCGACACUCGGAUUUGAACAGGGAGAAAAGGAUUUGCAGUCCUCGCAGCUCUGGGCUCGCUGUCCAUGUUCUUAGAUCCAAGAGGAAUUGCAAGACAUCAAUCAGAUUUUCUCUUCAACCUUGCCUUUUAUUCUGUUUGAUUGCUUUCUAUGGGGUCCUUUUGUUGUUUGUAUCGCCAACAGUUUGCUGUAAGAGUUUUUGAUGAUGAGGAGUGUUACUUCAAGGUUUUCUUUCUCCAAGACUCUGAUUUCUAAUAUAAUUUUGAUGCCAUUAAACGUUUUCCAAUUUAUUUUUUAUUUUUCUACUUGUUCUUCAUAUACUACCUCUGCAAACAUCUUUGUAACCAACUUAAUUAUUUGUGCAACGAAUGUGCUUUGGUUGGGGAGUCUGAGUUUCUAACUUUUGGAAGGAUUUUGGUCUCUCUUUCUGCGAGAAGUGAAAGAUUUUUUUUUUUGGAAGGAUUCCAGAACAAUGAUGUCUCGUUUAGUUGUGCUAACUGUGCACCUCAUAUAACAAUACAGUAACAUAUUUGAUCUUCAGAACAAUUGCGCAUGAUCUGUUUUUUUUUUUAAUUUUAACUAAUGGAUGUGGAAGUAUUGCACCUUAGAAUGAAGGUGAUAUUCCUUCACUAACCUCCCUGGGAAGUAUAUAUUACUUUCAUCAAGAUAUACAUGUAUAUUUUGUGUUUUUGUUUUGUCCGGCAGAGGGGACUUCAUUUGUGGAUUAAGUUUGAUGGAUAUUUAGUCCACGAGGUGUAUCAUUUUCUAUCUUGAAAAACACAUUAAGUGUUAGUUAGGGUUGGUUAUUUAUCGGGUGCACAUCGUUCCCACUGCUCUAUGAUGGUUAACUGUUGACCUGCUUUAUUUAUUGAUCUGACAAUUCUUUUUGGCAAAUGUCACAUUAAUGUUUAUUAAACAGGACAAGAUUACUUGCACUUUGUCAUUAGU